ensembl:lncRNA
GAGAUACUUUCAGGAGGAGACUCUCCAGAGCCACUAGGAAAGCUUCCAGAAGAAGUGAGGCAAAUUUGCAGUCCAAGAGUGAAGACAUGACCCUCAAUAUUUUAUCUGAAUUCAAGCAGAAUGGAGAUACAAGCUUGUGAGGAUGCAAGAAUCACCGAACACUCACUUUUGUAACAUGGUCUCAGGAUGCCUGCCUGGUUUACCAUACAUGUUACAUACAUUGUGUUUCAGCUCCCAGAGAACUUUCUUUUGGACUGUGGAUGCAGUGAAGUGGACAGUGCCCAGAAAUGCCCUUUUACUUCUUGGCAUGUUUUUUUCCAGUGUUUCUUCUUCAUACAUCAUGUCGUGGACAAUUACAACGUGUGAAUACAUGCCAAAUAGUAACAAGAAUGAUCUUGCCCAACCCCUUCUAGGCACAAAGAGGUCUCCAGGAAAAGUUUGUGCUAAUGGUAAAAACACACAGAGAGUCAAGAUGAAGCAGUGAUCUAUUGGCUGGAAAUCUGAUGACAUGUGAUGAUGUAAGUAGGUAUUUUAAUAGUAAAGGCAGAAAUCUGUUGGCAUUUUGAUGAAAAAACUGCUAAAAUUAUAGAAUUUAUCAGUUAACUAAAUUUCACACUACAAAAUGAUUCUCAUGCCAAGUUUAAGGUAUUUUUGGCUCACCAAUUGGUGUCUUUGACUCUUUAAACAUCACUAUGCAUUUGCAUGGAAAUGAUAUAAACACAAACCAAGAAGAGAUACAGCAGAGGUUAGGAUUCAGCAUUAAAAACACGACCUUGCCACUUGGCCAACUGUGGAACUCUGACUCUUUCAACACCAUUCUCCAUGUAUUAAAAAGGUUAGAUGACCUCCAUCUGUUGGGACCUCAGGGGAUGUGGUAGAACAUUAAAACUACAGACAGCCAGAGGUGCAUGAAAUCUGCUACUGUACUUUCCAGGACUCUUCCAUUGCAGUCCUGGGCUAGAAAUUCUCACAAAGUUCACCAAUUAUGAUUUGGAUCUAUGACCUAUAAGUUUUCUCAAUCUACUCGGACAGUACAGUAAACUGCUUUUGGAUACAAGAGAUGUCUGUGCUUACAGCGGCUGGAAUUGGAAUAGGGAAAAUGAAGAUAUGUAUGUAGUUAGGGAUCUCCUGAAGCUUUAACUUAGCUGGUCAUUUUAUAACUAACAUAAUCGUAUUUAUUGACGAAGCUCACAAUUCUUCAGUUAUACAGAUUAAAAGGCUUUCUUGAAAGAUCAAAUAUGCUGAUGUAAAUUAUAUUUAUUACAAUGUAUAAUAUGUCACACUAGUGUAUUUUAUGUAAUGUGAUGCGUAGAUAAAAUGAGUUAUUGUAUAUUUUGCUUUUCAAAUACCAGUAUCUUGAAAUGUUUGAAGAUUUUUUUGAUCUAAAAUAUGAAUGUUUUGUGAUACAAGUGGUUAAUUUUCUCUAGAAGUGCUUUUGCAUGUUUACCUUUUUACUUAGGGUUCUCUAUAUAGACACACUGUGGUGUCAAACUAUCAUAAGCUCAAUAGUAAAUACAAAAUAUCUUUGCCAGACUAGGUCUGUGUUGUCUAUAUUUUAUAUGACAUAGAAAAGUUUAUAUUGUCUUUUUAAGACCUUUAGAAUUGUGCCCCCAAAUAUGGUUGAAACUUCCAAUUCCAAUGCGAAAGGUUGUCCUAAAUUCCAAUUAGAUCCCUUACAUUUUAGAAGUCUGGAGGGAUGGGCAUUAUAGAUAGAUUAAAAUUUGAGGAAAAACAAAGGGGGAUGGGGGAGAGAGAAAAGAGGCAGCUGAUAAAAUCCCUUACUGUCCUCAGUUCUGCUUACAUUUUUGUGUUGUGUUUCUUCUUAAGGUGAAAGAAUACAAUCUUGAGUUCUUUGAGAUGUAGUUUCUAAGUAACACGCUACCAGCAAGUUCAACACUGCUAUUUUAAUGUUCUUGUUGUUUAGUUGGUAACUUUAACUUCAAGUUUUAUAGUGAUAACUGUAAAUGAUUUGGCUGCUGAACUCUGUUACAAUUUUUAUUAUGUCAUACAUUGUAUUAUACACAUCAUUACAAAUUAAUAUGAAGGGGAAUAUAUGUUACAUAUCAAAAUUUGUGACUUUGACUUCUAGUAUGUUUAGUGUUUUUGCAAAAAUGUUUAUUUUUGUAUUAUCUGUGAUUUUAAUAUAGUUGAACUAGAUUUCUUUGUGAUUAACAGUUUCAUUGAAUGAGCAGUAUGGAAACAGUGUUACUUGACAUUUUGAGCCUUCUCAGGUUUAUCUAAAUCAUCGGUAGCUUAACAAAUUCCAGACUUAUUGUAUAUAAUUGUUUUUAAUAAAAGGAAUGUGUAUUUCCUCUAAGUUUGCAUGCAGGAGUGUAUAAUAUCGUGUGUUUGUAUGUGUGUGUGUCUAAGGCAUGUGGCCAAUUUACUAUUUAUAAUAGGAGAGCUUUGAUAUGAUCAUGAUCAUCAGAAUUGUACCUACUAUAGACAAUUAAAACUGAAAAAGUCUCAAUAAAACUAUGAAAUGUGAU